UCCAGGGUGGCGGAGCUGUGCAACGUGACCAUCGAGGGCCUGGACCUGGGGCACUGCCACUCCUUCCGGGCCAGGGUGCUGACCCAGGCGUCCUCCUACGGCUCCGAAGCAUCCCCCAGCGACUGGUCUCCGGUCACCCACUGGCAGGGAGCUGCGCCCCGAGGUGACGGGGCCACGCGGCGACUCCGCCAUCACGGGACCUUCACGUGUGUGGGCAGCGGCACAGGGAGAGCAGAGUGGACAGAGGAGAUGGCGGUCAGGGAGACUCGAGGGGGACGCGGAGGGGAUGGAGGGAGACACAGGGGACCUCAGGGAGACAGGGACAGAAAAGGGGAUGGACAGGAAAGAUAGACCUUAGGUGGACCACGUAUGCAUAUGGACACGGGGCGUAGAGACAGGUGGACACAGAAACCGAGGUGACAGACAGGGAACAGGGAGGCAGACAGACAGGCAGACAGGAUGGGCGGGCGGGUGGGUGGGUGGAUGAUAGGAAGAUGGACAGAAUGGAUGACAGAUGGACAGAUGAAUAAUAGGCAGGUAAUAGAUGGGUGACAGACCCUAGAUGGAUAGGUGGAUGGGUGACAGAUGAUGGACAGGACUGCAGAGGACAGCUGGUGGUGGGUGCAGGUGUCCCAUCCCCCUCUGGGCCUUCACAGCCUAGCCCCAGGCUCCUCCCCACGUGCACCCGGCCCUGAGCCCUGUGCCCCCCACCCUGGUCCCCUGUACCCCGCCCCGGGGCACCGAGAGGAAGCGGCUCUUGACCCACUCCUGGGCCGCCCAAGCCCCACGUCCCCGAGUCCCCUGCCAGCUCCAGCACUGAGCCCACAGUGCUCCUCUUGCACCCCAGAUUCCUGCCUGCAGUGGCCCCCGCUGCCCAAAUGGCCCCGGUUCUUCCUGGUGUGCAGCCUGGUGUCGCUCCUGACCGUGGCCCUGCUGCUCCUGGCUGUGUGCAAGGCGCAGAGGGUGAAGAGGGUGCUGAUGCCCAGCGUGCCGGACCCCAAGGGCUCCUUUCCCGGGCUGUUCGAACACCACCAGGGGGACUUCCAGGAGUGGAUCACCGACACCCAGGACGUGGCCCCAUGGAAGAAGCCGCCGAGCGGGGAGCAGGACCCUGGGUCUGAGCAGACGCUGGAGGUCCAUGUGUCCAGGGUGGACGCGGAGCUGCCCCUGGUGACGAGGCCCCUGUCCCCACACACAAGGGAGGAAGAGGCCUCCGUGGGCUCCGCGCAGCACCCUCCCCGAGACCCCCAGGGUGGCACCGUGGUCUCUCUUGCGGGCUUCACGUUCAUGAUGACGGACAACGCCUACAUGAAGCUGUGAACUGCGAUCCUCCGGCCUCGGCCUCCUGAGCGGCUGGGGUGACAGGCAGGCACCACCACACCUCACUCUCUUGUUCACUUUCCUUCUGCAGUCCGUGGCAUUGUACCCAGGGGGCAGCAUGGUGGGGAAAGCGCUCUACCCCUGAGCUUCGCCCUGAGCUCUUUGAUCCUCUUUGCUUCUAUUUGGAGACCAGCUCUCUGGCUAAGUGGCCCAGGCUCACCUUAAACUUGAGACCCUCCUGACUCAGUCUCCCGCAGUGGCUGCACCACAGACGGGCACCGGUCGCUCCUUCCCCUGUGAUGUGACCCCCAGCCCCGGGUGUGGCCCCGCAGGAAGGACGAGGCAGGCUGCUCUCUCCGGAAGCAGCGAGUCAGCGAUGCUCUCUCCCCUCCCGGGGCCCUGCAGUGUGCAUGUCUCUGUGCGCCUGCAGGCUCAUGCGUGUGUCGGCGGGUGUAUGCAGCUGUGCAUUUGUGUACACACGUGUCUGUCUGUGGCGUGAUGAGUGCCUGUGUGUGGGGGGGAGAUGCACGAACGCCUGGAGGUGAGGCCAUAGCCGUGUCUGUGUGCGUGCGUCUGCAUCUGGGUGUAAGCGUGUGCACGUGUGUACAUACAUGUAAGCACACAAUAACCGAAACGCAUAGCUGAUAGGUGUUCUGCAUGGUUUUAAUUUACCCUGGAGCUUUUGCUGACCUCACCGCAGUGCCUGUCUACGUUAUUUGCCCUGGGUCCGCACACGAGAAGUCGUGGCUGCACCUCAGGCCUGCGCAGUGGUCCAGCCAGACGGAGUCGACGUCGUCUUCGUGUCUUAGCCCCCGGGUGGUGGCCUGACUGGAAGCAGGGCCCUGCAGAGGGAAUCGGAGGAGGAUCUGGGGACACGGCCGUCCUGCCUCAGCCUCCCGAGUGCUGGGCCCACAGGUGCCACACUUCACCAGAGGCUUUGACCCCCGCCCCGCUGUGCCUUUCUGCUGUCGGUCUCUGUCACUUCCUUCCUAAGCCUUUCGGGUCCUUUCACGUCUCUGUCUCCGGUCCCUGCCCCUCUGGGAGGGCUCCUUGUUGUAGGGGGACCCUGUCUCCGUGACACUCAACCCGCCGGCCACUCUGCCUCCAACGGAGCCCCGACGGCCCCUCCCUGCCUCCUGAUUAACGAACUCGUCAGUUAAUUGAGAGGGACUGGGGGUGGAACCCAGGGCCUUCGCUCCGAGCUCCGUCUCCAGCCCUAUUUAGGUUUUCUUUUGAGCCUGGUCUCCCUGAGUCACUCAGUGGCCCAGGCUGGAGAUUCUCCUGCCUCAGCCUCCUGAGCACUGGGAUCAAAGGCAUGCGCCAACCUCGUCUUGGGAUCUCAAGGCUGGGGCCUGCGGGUCAACACUGAGCCCCUCACAGGGCCAAGUGGCGCAGCCGGGUGACAGCAACGGCUGCUCUCAGUGUUCAUGCUGUGGUUUCCUGUCCCCUGCCCGGGGCCGGGACAAAGCCCUUUGUGCUCGCUCUGCACAACGCACCUGGGGUGCUGAGGAGAACCGCGUCAUCCUCAGCCCUCGGACCGCAGUCGGACUCGGGGUGGGCUAAGUGUGUGACCCCAGCACUCCAGGAGGCUGAGGCAGGAGGAUUUCGAGUUCCAGCCCAGCCCGGGCGGCUUAGCAGCUCAGCGAGACCCCGACUCAAAAUAAAAAAUAAAAGCAGGCUGGGGAUGGGGCUCCGAGGGAAGGCCCCAGGGUCAAUCCCCAGCGCUGCAAGAAUAAAUACACACAAGAUAUUCUUUAAAAGGCUGCGGUGGCGCACGCCCAUCACUCCAGCACUCUGGGAGGCUGAGGCAGGAGAGUCUCCAGUUCCCGCCCAGCCUGCACAAUUUACGGUCUCAGCGAGACCCUAUCUCAAAAUCCACGGUGGAGAGAGGAAGGGAGGCAGGAAAGAAAUCAGGCCCGAGUACCAGUUGUCACACCCGAUGUUUGGUCUGGCUUGGGAGGGGCUGCCUCAGUUUCCCCAAGUUUCUCGGCCUUCCCCAGGGGCUCCGGCUGCAGAUGCUGUAAAAGUUCCCAAUCGGACAUCCCCUGCGGGUCCUCAAAACGAGCCCCCUCUUGCCCUGCUGUCCCGAAGGCAGACGAGACAAGCCGGGGCACUGAGGGUAAUAAACUGACUUCCAGAGCCUGGGCAGGGAUCAGCUCGCUGGCACGCAGCAAUGGGCUCGGCUCCACCCCGAGUGUGAAGGUCCGAAUGG
rnacentral:lncRNA from 1 species